GUGUCUUGAUCAGAAUAGUCACAAUUUGAAAAAUGAUGUUGGACUAGUAGUCCUUUUUUUUUUCGUUAUUCAUUGUUCUAUUGUUUGCUCCAGCUUGAGAAGGGUGUGGAUGGACUAUUUGAUAGCUUUGCUAGGUUGGAUUCCUGCAUAUCAAGUGUUGGUCAAACAGCUGCAAAAAUCGGAGAUCAUUUACAGAGCGCAGAAUCCCAGAGGGAAACUGCUAGUCAGACGAUAGAUCUCAUCAAGUAUCUCAUGGAGUUCAACAGCACACCUGGGGACCUUAUGGAACUUUCUCCUU